GACGAACGCUGGCGGCGUGCCUAAUACAUGCAAGUAGAACGCUGAAGAGAGGAGCUUGCUCUUCUUGGAUGAGUUGCGAACGGGUGAGUAACGCGUAGGUAACCUGCCUUGUAGCGGGGGAUAACUAUUGGAAACGAUAGCUAAUACCGCAUAACAAUAGGUGACACAUGUCAUUAUUUUAAAGGGGCAAUUUCCUCACUACAAGAAGGACCUGCGUUGUAUUAGCUAGUAGGGGAGGGAACGGCUCACCUAGGCGAAGGUAAAUAGCCGACCUGAGAAGGUGAUCGGCCACACUGGGACUGAGACACGGCCCAGACUCCUACGGGAGGCAGCAGUAGGGAAUCUUCGGCAAUGGGGGCAACCCUGACCGAGCAACGCCGCGGGAGUGAAGAAGGUUUUCGGAUCGUAAAGCUCUGUUGUAAGUCAAGAACGAGUGUGAGAGUGGAAAGUUCACACUGUGACGGUAGCUUACCAGAAAGGGACGGCUAACUACGUG
rnacentral:rRNA from 1 species